UAGCCUAGAUGACAAUCAAUCUGCUGGUGGGCAGCAGCAAGCAGGUGGGGAGAUUACAGUUCAAAAGGAUGGUUCUGCACCACAAUCUGGUUUUGUGUGGGAUGAAGCAUCUGGUUAUUACUAUGAUGCUGCUUCGGGCUUCUACUUUGAUGGAAAUACAGGUCUUUAUUAUGAUGGCAAUCAAGGGGUUUGGUACUCUUAUGACCAGCAAACUCAGCAGUACAUCCCUUUCACAGAUAACAAUGACAAUAAAGCAUCUAGUAAUCAGUCUGAGAAUUCCAAGUCAUCUGACGGUUCCAGUAACAGAAAAGUAGUAAUUUCUGCUCCAGCUGCUACAAUUACAUCCACAGAGAAGGCUGCCUCAUUACCUGAUGCUGUCCAGGCUGCUGCUUCAGCAGCAUUAGCUGCAGAGAAAAAAGAGAAGGAGAAAGCAAAAGAGAUAAAACUAGCUUCAAAGAGCAGUAUUUUGGCUACCAAGAAGAAAAUGAACAAUGUAGAUUAGGGCUUAAGCUACGAGGCUGUGGUUGUAGAUAAGGGCAAUAAGCAAUGACGCUGGGGGUUAAAAUGUGGUAUUUGGGCGGGGCAAGGCAAGUGCUUUUAAGUGAUUUACUGCAAACUCAAAUCUCUUCUGCAAUAGCAAGUCUAUGUAGAUUUGUAAAAAUUCAUUCAUAGAAGCUCCGGAAUUUUGUCUAAA